AGGACGAACGCUGGCGGCGCGCUUAACACAUGCAAGUCGAGCGGAAAGGCCCUUCGGGGUACUCGAGCGGCGAACGGGUGAGUAACACGUGAGCAACCUGCCCUUAGCUCUGGGAUAGCUCCGGGAAACCGGAAUUAAUACCGGAUAUGACCUAGGCCGACAUCGGCCGUGGUGGAAAGUUUUUCGGCUAGGGAUGGACUCGCGGCCUAUCAGCUAGUUGGUGGGGUAAUGGCCUACCAAGGCGACGACGGGUAGCCGGCCUGAGAGGGCGACCGGCCACACUGGGACUGAGACACGGCCCAGACUCCUACGGGAGGCAGCAGUGGGGAUAUUGCGCAAUGGGGGAAACCCUGACGCAGCGACGCCGCGUGCGGGAUGAAGGCCUUCGGGUUGUAAACCGCUUUCAGCAGGGACGAAGCGAGAGUAACGGUACCUGCAGAAGAAGCGCCGGCUAACUACGCGCCAGCAGCCGC
rnacentral:rRNA from 1 species